rnacentral:lncRNA from 1 species
AGCUCAGUGAGCAGAAUAAUAGAAAACAACAUUUAAAUCUCAUGCCAUCAUGUAAUGCAACACAUCACAACAAAUCACAUCUUGGAUGGUAUUGUCACCAAUAGUCCUCUACAUUCCAAAGUGCCGGGACGUAGAAUGGGUACAACCGGUCUUUCUCUUAACAUAACAUAUCAUACAUACCAAUGUGCCAGGGACGUAGAAUGGGUACACCCUGGACUUUCUCUUACAUAGUGCCAGGGACGUAGAAUGGGUACAACCUGGACUUCCAUACCGUAUCAUGCC